AUGGGCUUAGCAGACCCCAGAGGCCACCCCGGCCCAGAGCACAGAGGCCAGGCUGCAGAGCGCCCGGCUGGCCGGCUGGGGGCAGCUGUGAGGGCCCCUGCUAUUCCUCGGGCGCCUGGAGGCCACCCUCCCCUCAUCCCUGCUCCUGGAAGCUGCGGCUCCCCGCCUGCCGCCUCUUGGAUGCCAUUGCGCCCCGGAUGGACGGCCCUGGGGGAGUCAGCGUUGCCCCUGCCUUCCUCGGGCGGCGGCGGCUCCGAGCCGGCACGUUCCAGAACAGGCUCGCGUUCCAGAGCAUCGGCGAGCGGAGGCGAGCGGCAGCCUCCAAACAGGCCAGGCCCCCAGCCCCCGGCCCCCGGCCCCCGGCCCCCAGCCCCCAGCCCCCAUCCCCCAUCUUCCCUCGAAGCCUGGGCUCCCGUGCUUGCUGGGGAAGCACGGAGUGCAAGUGCCGGCCUUGACCCUAGCUCUGGGUCGCCUUGCCCCACCCGGCACUGGUUUUCUUUGGGGGUGAGGGGCAGUCACGUGCGUCUGGUCCCUUGUGAAGCAGCAGGCCUGGGGCCUGGGGCCCACCUGCAGCGGCUGCACCAGCCAGGCCCCGGCCUCCCUGCCCUGGUGACUGGGGCAUUGCCCAGGCCUCCCACCGCCCCUCCUCUGCAGCAAGAGCCCAGCCAGGACCCCCAGCUGGGGACGAGGGAGGCUGGCGGGCAGGGGCAUGGCCUGGCCCCGCUGCUGCACCCCCCGAGGGCGGCCCCAGUGCACCGAGGGGGCCAGUGGCUGGCGCUCAACCUGUGGCCAGUGCCCGGGACUCGUGGCAGGAUUCACAGGGUGGAGGUGGUGGAACCAGGCUGUCUCAGCUGCACGGCUGUCAUCUUUGUAACCACAUGGAGGAAGACAGCCAGGCCCAGGCGGCCCACCCUGCGCCCACACACUGGCCGGCACAGCCCCUUCCCUGAGCCUCAAGCAUUGCCCCCCCCCCCGCUCCCUGUACUUCCGGCCACCAGCUAG
rnacentral:lncRNA from 1 species